UUUAUGGAGAGUUUGAUCCUGGCUCAGGAUGAACGCUGGCGGCGUGCCUAAUACAUGCAAGUCGAGCGAACGGACGAGAAGCUUGCUUCUCUGAUGUUAGCGGCGGACGGGUGAGUAACACGUGGAUAACCUACCUAUAAGACUGGGAUAACUUCGGGAAACCGGAGCUAAUACCGGAUAAUAUUUUGGACCGCAUGGUUCAAAAGUGAAAGACGGUCUUGCUGUCACUUAUAGAUGGAUCCGCGCUGCAUUAGCUAGUUGGUAAGGUAAUGGCUUACCAAGGCAACGAUGCAUAGCCGACCUGAGAGGGUGAUCGGCCACACUGGAACUGAGACACGGUCCAGACUCCUACGGGAGGCAGCAGUAGGGAAUCUUCCGCAAUGGGCGAAAGCCUGACGGAGCAACGCCGCGUGAGUGAUGAAGGUCUUCGGAUCGUAAAACUCUGUUAUUAGGGAAGAACAUAUGUGUAAGUAACUGUGCACAUCUUGACGGUACCUAAUCAGAAAGCCACGGCUAACUACGUGCCAGCAGCCGCGGUAAUACGUAGGUGGCAAGCGUUAUCCGGAAUUAUUGGGCGUAAAGCGCGCGUAGGCGGUUUUUUAAGUCUGAUGUGAAAG
rnacentral:rRNA from 1 species